GGAAAAGAGACUAACCAGGAUUCUCUCAGUAACGGCGAGUGAACAGAGAAAAGCCCAGCACCGAAGCCUGUCUGCGCUUGUGGACAAGGCAAUGUGGUGUUUAGGUGUGUGCCUGGGGCGGUCAGUCUAUUCGAAGUCCGGCGUAGAUUACGGCACUGGAUUUGGUCCAUAGCGGGUGAAAGACCCGUCCGGAUAGACUGUGAGGCAUGUUGACCGCCCUCAGAUGCAUUCACCUUGGAGUCGGAUAGCUUGAGAAUGCUGUCCAAAGCGGGUGGUAAACUCCAUCCAAGGCUAAAUACCUGCACGAGUCCGAUAGCUAACAAGUACCGUGAGGGAAAGUUGAAAAGUACUCUGAAGAGAGAGUAAAUAGUACGUGAAACCGCCUGUAUGGAAGCUGGUGGAGUCAAGCUGCAUGCCCUGGAAAUUAAACGAGUGACUAUUGAUGUAUUGUGUGUGUGGAGGUGGGCGAUCGGUGGUCUUGCAAACAGGCCUACGGAUUUAUCCGUUCCAUGUGCGUACUGGUCAGUACGUAUGAGGCCGGUCGUCUUGUGUCUCCCUGUCGCUCGUGUGCUUUUCCUGUGGCAGACAUCACGAUCGAUAUCGUCGCUGGCACAUGGUAGUGAAACCAUUCGGACGUGGGUCUUGCCUCGCGCCGGAUGGGACGGCAGGUAGCUUGCUUGGGGGCCUCGGCUCUCUUGUGAGCGCUUUGUGGUUACGACCGGCUCUCUACCAUUUCUGUGAUGCAUUUAGCCAUGCGAUAUAUCGUUGUUCUUGUCGUGUUGGGAGGUCGUGGUACCGUGCUCACACUGUUGGCUGCUCGGGCUCGUUUCUGCGCAAGCGGUGCGGGUCUGUGGCCGGUCGAUGGUCGGUGCUUCCGAUUGCCUGAUGCAUG
rnacentral:rRNA from 1 species